rnacentral:rRNA from 1 species
AUUGAACGCUGGCGGAAUGCUUUACACAUGCAAGUCGAGCGGCAGCGCGGGGCAACCCUCGGCGGCGAGCGGCGAACGAGUGAGUAACACAUCGGAACGUACCCACGUGGUGGGGGAGUAGCCCGGCGAAAGCCGGAUUAAUACCGCAUACGACCUGAGGGGGAAAGUGGGGGACCGCAAGGCCUCACGCCGUUGGAGCGGCCGAUGUUCGAUUAGCUAGUUGGUAGGGUAAAGGCCUACCAAGGCGACGAUCGAUAGCUGGUCUGAGAGGACGACCAGCCACACUGGAACUGAGACACGGUCCAGACUCCUACGGGAGGCAGCAGUGGGGGAAUAUUGCACAAUGGGCGCAAAGCCUGAUGCAGCGACGCCGCGUGAGGGAUGACGGCCUUCGG